rnacentral:misc_RNA from 1 species
GAAAUGUUCAAUAAGGAGGCGGGGCAUCAAGUUGAAGAGUGCAAAUUGAGAGUGCUCUAUGUUUCUCCACCUCAACCGCCUUCUCCUGUUCCAGAAGGGUCUGAGGAAGGGUCUUCGCCGAGGGGUUCUGUGUCAGAUAAUGGAAUUGCAAAUGGUGCUGAGUUUUCUAAUGCUUCAAGAGCAUUUGCUGAGCGGUUUGAACCUCAAGACAAAUCGUCAGAGGCAAAAGCUCUUAUUU